GGUAGUGUGGCAUAGUGGUUUGAGUAUUGGACUGUGACUCUGAAGACCAGGGUUCAAUUCCCAGUUCAGCCA